rnacentral:rRNA from 1 species
GUGUCGUGAGAUGUUGGGUUAAGUCCCGCAACGAGCGCAACCCCUAUUGUUAGUUGCCAUCAUUCAGUUGGGCACUCUAGCGAGACUGCCGGUAAUAAACCGGAGGAAGGUGGGGAUGACGUCAAAUCAUCAUGCCCCUUAUGACCUGGGCUACACACGUGCUACAAUGGUUGGUACAACGAGUUGCGAGUCGGUGACGGCAAGCUAAUCUCUUAAAGCCAAUCUCAGUUCGGAUUGUAGGCUGCAACUCGCCUACAUGAAGUCGGAAUCGCUAGUAAUCGCGGAUCAGCACGCCGCGGUGAAUACGUUCCGGGUCCCGGUCGUUACGUACACCGCCCGUCCGUACACCACCGACGAGUUAGUUUACGAACCCGAACCGUACGGUCGGUAGGUAACGUUUAACGUUAGGCCGACGACGCCCGUAACGUAGGGGUAGUAGUAAGUGUAGUUAGGGUUGGGGUAAGUAACGGUUAACCGUAAACGGUAAGGGUACCGGUACCGUUACGGGUAACGGGGUAGGUCGGGCCGGUUCGGUAGGUACCUACCGGUACCGGUACCGGACCGGGCCCGGGACGGUUCGGUUCGGGGUAGGGGACGAACGGACGGACACCACGGGGAGGUAGUG